CAGUCGCCGCGGUAAUACGUAGGUCCCGAGCGUUGUCCGGAUUUAUUGGGCGUAAAGCGAGCGCAGGCGGUUAGAUAAGUCUGAAGUUAAAGGCUGUGGCUUAACCAUAGUACGCUUUGGAAACUGUUUAACUUGAGUGCGAGAGGGGAGAGUGGCAUUCCAUGUGUAGCGGUGAAAUGCGUAGAUAUAUGGAGGAACACCGGUGGCGAAAGCGGCUCUCUGGCUUGUAACUGACGCUGAGGCUCGAAAGCGUGGGGAGCAAACAGGAUUAGAUACCCCCGUAGUCCCUGUCUCUUAUACA
rnacentral:rRNA from 1 species